GCGCGAGCCUGAUGCAGCGACGCCGCGUGAGGGAUGACGGCCUUCGGGUUGUAAACCUCUUUCAGUAGGGAAGAAGCGAAAGUGACGGUACCUGCAGAAGAAGCACCGGCUAACUACGUGCCAGCAGCCGCGGUAAUACGUAGGGUGCGAGCGUUAUCCGGAAUUAUUGGGCGUAAAGAGCUCGUAGGCGGUUUGUCGCGUCUGUCGUGAAAGUCCGGGGCUUAACCCCGGAUCUGCGGUGGGUACGGGCAGACUAGAGUGCAAUAGGGGAGACUGGAAUUCCUGGUGUAGCGGUGGAAUGCGCAGAUAUCAGGAGGAACACCGAUGGCGAAGGCAGGUCUCUGGGCUGUAACUGACGCUGAGGAGCGAAAGCAUGGGGAGCGAACAGGAUUAGAUACCCUGGUAGUCCAUGCCGUAAACGUUGGGCACUAGGUGUGGGGACCAUUCCACGGUUUCCGCGCCGCACCUAACGCAUUAAGUGCCCCGCCUGGGGAGUACGGCCGCAAGGCUAAAACUCAAAGGAUUUGACCGGGG
rnacentral:rRNA from 1 species